rnacentral:rRNA from 1 species
UACGUAGGGCGCAAGCGUUGUCCGGAAUUAUUGGGCGUAAAGAGCUCGUAGGCGGCUUGUCACGUCGGGUGUGAAAGCCCGGGGCUUAACCCCGGGUCUGCAUUCGAUACGGGCUAGCUAGAGUGUGGUAGGGGGGAUCGGAAUUCCUGGUGUAGCGGUGAAAUGCGCAGAUAUCAGGAGGAACACCGGUGGCGAAGGCGGAUCUCUGGGCCGUUACUGACGCUGAGGAGCGAAAGCGUGGGGAGCGAACAGG